GGGGUUCAGUUCUUGGAGGACAGGGGUGUGGGGUCAAAUGGGGGUAGAAGGCUCACAGCUCUGACCAUUUCUUUGUUUCCUGGAGGCUGCGAGGGCCCUUUUGGACAGAGCACAGUGGCAUGUGGCCCAUGGGUAGAGUUGCAGAUUUUUCUUUUCUGGCUUUGUUGACGUCCUCCCUUGACUGAAUUCCCCAAAGGAUCUGACCCACUGUCCUCCACCUCCAGAUGCCAUGCUGCAUUUUGUCAUCAGGCAUCCCCAGCCUCUAACCUAUGACAUCUCUCCAUUCUUGCCUUGUCUCUUCCUUUGGGUCAGCACGGGCCAGUGGCUCUGUGAACUCUCCCUCCAUUUGGGCUCCUGAGACCGUAUUUAAUGAUAAGAUGGAGGCUCUGCACUUUUGGCAGGAAUUUUGAAGAAGGGAAGGGCCCUUCUGUGUGCAUUCCAUCGUGGAAGCGUGACAUGGAUAAGUCUUUGAGGAGGCUGACCCCGACAAUGGAGGACACUGGUGCCUGCUGGGUUUCUCCACUGGGAAGUCACCAUUUUUCUCUUUGAAAUUAAUAAAUACCUCAAGGGAGACACUCGAAGCCAACGCA